rnacentral:rRNA from 1 species
GCCAGACUCCUACGGGAGGCAGCAGUGGGGGAUAUUGCACAAUGGGGGGAACCCUGAUGCAGCGACGCCGCGUGGGUGAAGAAGUAUUUCGGUAUGUAAAGCCCUAUCGGCAGGGAAGAAAUUGGACGGUACCUGACUAAGAAGCCCUGGCUAACUACGUGCCAGCCGCCGCGGUAAUACGUAGGGGGCAAGCGUUAUCCGGAUUCACUGGGUGUAAAGGGAGCGUAGACGGCCAUGCAAGCCUGGGGGGAAAGCCCGGGGCCCAACCCCGGGACUGCUCUGGGAACUGUGCGGCUGGAGUGCGGGAGGGGCAGGCGGAAUUCCUGGUGUAGCGGUGAAAUGCGUAGAUAUCAGGAGGAACACCGGUGGCGAAGGCGGCCUGCUGGACUGCAACUGACGUUGAGGCCCGAAAGCGUGGGGAGCAAACAGGAUUAGAUACCCGUGUAA